CGGCCAAUUAAUGCUUAAGGAAUGCUUUCGUUCUUUGAGGCAAGAAUAACAACUGGCUGAUUCUUUUCUUUUUUUCCUUUUUUUGGCGAGGUCUCGCAUAUCGGCGCGGUUGGCUGCGGAACGCCGCUCGUAAAUCCAGCAGCUUUCUUGGUGUGUCGUGCGCACACUCGAGGCUGACAACGGGGCACUCUGAAGCGGCGAACCUUCCAAAGAGUCAAAAAACAACUUUUCUCUAAAAGAUGACUUCACGGCAGUGAUUGAGUGACCGUUAUUGCAGCGGCAAAGAGACUCGUAAACCCCCCCCCCCCCUUUCUGUAUCCCCCAAACUGUGGAAGUAAUAGUAGUCUCUCUGUGUGUGGCAGAGGAGGAGGGGGACUAAUCCGCCAACUUUCAAGGUCUCCGAGUGCCUAAAGGUCACACAUAUGCAGACAUGGGUCCCCCCCCACUCAGCCUUUUGGUCUUCAGUUUCUUCUCUUCCCCCAUUACUUCCUUUGUUUUCACCCUUCCUCCUUACCAUUCUCCCUCAAACGUCCCUCCCUCCAAACAAACCUUUACUCUACCCAGUUUUUUUUUUUUAUUAUUAAAUUGGAGCCAGUGACACCACUGGGCCCACCGCUAGCACAGACGCCCCCCCGCCCCCUCGUCGGGCCUGCUUUUUAUCUACCAACUAAAUUCCUUUGCCUUUUUGUAUUUGCAUACAAAUGCUGCUUCCCUUUUUUAUCCUGCAUGAAGAUAAGAUAGUGGGGUCUUUCAGCGCUCCACCUAUCUGUUGGGCAAUCUUCCUCACGUAGGAUUAUGCAAACUAUCCCGCUCCAUCUCCAGUUGGUUAGGUGGCACCCAUGCUGACAGCGGCUAUCUGGAUUCUCGUGGGCCAAUUCAGGAAAGGGGAACUGCAGCUCAACCUCCUCGAAGAGCACUGCCAGGACAAUUGAGGGCUCCUUCGGCAGCCCUCUGCUGUGACAUGGACAUCCACUUUUUAUUUAAUUGAUUUUCAUGUUGUAUCAUUUGUGCCCUCUCUGCAUCCAUUUCAACCUGGUGAUCCUGAAAGGGGGAUCCUUCCAUCUGUGGUCCCUUCUCAAGGUUUCUCAUUUUCCCCUGCUAGGGGUUUUUAAGUUUUACCUUGCCCUUUUGGGAGCUUAAGAUCAGGGGAUGCUUUGAGAAUAAUUGUCAAUUUCUGUCUAUGUGAAGCCCUUUGAGACUGCUUGUGAUUUGGGGCUAUACAAAUAAACUUGACUUGACUUGACUUGA